UUAAUUUUACGCACUUAAGUUUUGUAUUUGCUCUAAGGAUUCCCGACGACUUGAACGCGCACGCAUCGUAUUCCGGCAAUGACGGGCCAACGACGUACAUUGGAUACCUAUACUGUUUGUUUUGUAAUCCGGACUGUAUAUUAUUUUUAAUUAAUAACACACCGACCGACCGUGGAAAUUGUAGUCAUUUUAACGCUCGACACUUCAAAAACUAUAACUUUUUUUAAAACGACAGCUAUUCCGUUUGAAAUAAAAAAAAAAAUUUAAGUAUACCAGUAGUAUUGACUAUCUAUCUAUAAAUACAUUUCUUUCAAAAAUCGAAAUCAUUUUUUAAACUAUUGACCAUAAAUUAGAAAAACAAAUCUCACUGUUUGAAAAUUUGUAUCUUAUGAGAAAAAUACAUCCUAAAAAAAAAAAUGUCCUAGACCUGUUUUACAAUCAAUACCUAAUAGAGUUUUACAAGUAACUUGCGUUAGCUAUUCAACAACCGAUAUUAAAAACAGCUAAAAUUAAUAUUUUUCUUCAAACGAGCCUUUUAUGUGAUCUAGUGAUAACUAUUAACCGUAAACGCUGAAGUCAUAAACAAAUAUGUCCUACCAAUUAUGCAAAAACAAAGCCCGCCUAAAGAAAACCAACUAUACAACACCACGAAAAUUCAUGGACAAUGGUUUGGGGAUACUCUAUACAAGACACGGGAAUAUUAUUUGGUUGAAAGUACUUAAAUAAGUAAUAAUACACAUUUUUCAAAUUUGUAUUCUAAACAUUUUUUUUUCCGGACAUUCUAGAAAAUGCAAAUUAUUUUUUAAUCAACUUUGCGAUUUUACAUCUGUGUGUUCCACUAAUCUUGCUAUUAAAUAAUAUAUUACUUGCAAAGUAUAAAAUAUUUUUAAAAAAAAGUGCAGGACUCUCUCUAAUGUAUUUCACUACGGUACAGCAACGAAACCCAUACUAUAAUG